CAUCUGGUGCUCGCCAUUAGCCGGGGCCCCUGCCCCCUGGGCCUUCCGCUCCCCGGGAGGAAUAAUCCCGCUUCCUCUAACCUUUCGGCUGGGUCCCGUGCUCCGGGCCUUUCAUCAUGUCCAUCGUGGCCUCUGAAGCCACUCCAGGCUCCCUGGCCCUCCUAUGGCUUCUGCUGGGCUGGGCCAGGCGAAUCGGCAGGGGUCGGGGCAGGGGGUGAACAACCCGCUCUCUUCUCGGCACAAAGAGAGGUGGGGGUGGGGGCAGCCACGUCCAGGGAAAGGAGGCGGAGGUCAGGGCCCUGCCCAGGUUCCCCGCUGCCAGGGUCGGCUGAGUGGAGUCAGGGUCUUUGGACUGUUGGACCACUGGAUGAGGGGGGUGGGGCCGAACGGAGACCACGGGGCCUGGAUGCUGGACAGAGGAUGCCCAAGAUGGAUGCGGGUUGGAAUUCCAGGCGCAGAAGGCCAUCCGAGCCCGGGCGCAUGGGGAAAGCUUUCUGCCCCAGGAAACUCAUUUGGAGGCCCCUCCAGGUGAUGGGGUGAAUUGGGCCUAAAAGCAGGUUCUAAGCCCCUCUUUUUAACCCCCUGUUCCCCACUCCGGCCUGCAGACCAUUACCGAGAUGAAAGCCCAGAGAAUGCCUUUGGACCACGACUGCGGGAUCUAAUUGAAUUAUAUGAACGCAGUUAAACGCCUGCUUCAGAGAGGCAGGGCUUGCUUUCAAGACUGGAUGCUUCAGGAGUUAAUGGGCUAUUUGAACAAUAUAGGCCGAGAGCCGAACACAGGUCUCAUCUCUCAUCCCUCCUCCACUGUGUGGACCGUCAGCCAGGAAUGCCUCCCUCUGUCCCCCAUGGACCCCCCUCCAUCCUGAGUCCUCAACCCUGCUGGAGUCAAUUUAAAUGCAACCUCCUCCAGUUCCACAUCCCAUGACAUCAUGGGUCACUUGAAAUCAACCACGGUUGGAGUAUUUACACCAGGGAAAUUGGCAAACUCUACAAAUCAGGGUGUGGCCACCUCAUACGAAGAGUUGACUCAUUGGAAAAGACUCUGAUGCUGGGAGGAAUUGGGGGCAGGAGGAGAAGGGGACGACAGAGGAUGAGAUGGCUGGAUGGCAUCACUGACUCGAUGGACGUGAGUCUCAGUGAACUCCGGGAGUUGGUGUUGGACAGGGAGGCCUGGCGUGCUGCAGUUCACGGGUCACAAAGAGUCGGACAUGACUGAGCGACUGAUCUAAUCUGAUCUGAUCUGAUGCUUUUUCUCUGGGGAACUGGUGGCGAGACCUGUAUCAGCACACCACUGGAUUAUAGGGAAGAGUCAAUAAUAAAGAGCACAGUGCCUGCUACCUACUAAGUGCUUAAUUAAAGUUCGCUUAGAUGAAGACUGGGCGUCCCAGGUGGCUCAGCAGUAAAGAAUCCUCCUGCAGUGCAGGAGACACAGG
ensembl:lncRNA